rnacentral:rRNA from 1 species
GAUGAACGCUGGCGGCGUGCUUAACACAUGCAGGUCGAACGGAAAGGCCCCUGCUUGCAGGGGUACUCGAGUGGCGAACGGGUGAGUAACACGUGGGUGAUCUGCCCUGUACUUCGGGAUAAGCUUAGGAAACUGGGUCUAAUACCGGAUAGGACCACCUUUUGGAUAUUGUUGUGGAAAGAUUUUGCGGUAUGGGAUGUGCUCGCGGCCUAUCAGCUUGUUGGUGGGGUAAUGGCCUACAAAGGCGUCGUCGGGUAGCCGGCGUGAGAGGGUGUACGGCGACACUUUGGGAGAGAGACGGCGCAGACUCCUACGGGAGGCAGCAGUGGGGAAUAUAGCGCAAUGGGGGCGAGCCUGAUGCAGCGAAGCCGCGUGGGGGGUGUAGGCCUUCGCGUUGUAAACUCCGUUCGCUAGGGACGAAGCGUGUUUGUGACGGUACUGGGAGAAGAAGCACCGGCUAACUACGUG